rnacentral:rRNA from 1 species
UACGUAGGGUGCGAGCGUUGUCCGGAAUUAUUGGGCGUAAAGAGCUCGUAGGCGGUGUGUCACGUCGUUCGUGAAAACCUGCAGCUUAACUGUGGGCGUGCGGUCGAUACGGGCAUCACUGGAGUUCGGCAGGGGAGACUGGAAUUCCUGGUGUAGCGGUGAAAUGCGCAGAUAUCAGGAGGAACACCGGUGGCGAAGGCGGGUCUCUGGACAGUUCCUGACACUGAGGCACGAAGGCCAGGGGAGCAAACGGG